rnacentral:tRNA from 1 species
GGCGUCUUAGUUCAGUGGUAGAAUUCUCGCUUCGGGUGCGAGAGGUCACGAGUUCGAUUCUCGUAGACGCCC